GACGAACGCUGGCGGCGUGCUUAACACAUGCAAGUCGAACGGAAAGGCCCUGCUUUUGUGGGGUGCUCGAGUGGCGAACGGGUGAGUAACACGUGAGUAACCUGCCCUUGACUUUGGGAUAACUUCAGGAAACUGGGGCUAAUACCGGAUAGGAGCUCCUGCUGCAUGGAGGGGGUUGGAAAGUUUCGGCGGUUGGGGAUGGACUCGCGGCUUAUCAGCUUGUUGGUGGGGUAGUGGCUUACCAAGGCUUUGACGGGUAGCCGGCCUGGGAGGGUGACCGGCCACCUUGGGCCUGAGGUACGGCCCAGACUCCUACGUGGGGCAGCAGUGGGGAGUCUUGCACAGUGAGCGGAAGCCUGAUGCAGCGACGCCGCGUGCGGGAUGACGGCCUUCGGGUUGUAAACCGCUUUCGCCUGUGACGAAGCGUGAGUGACGGUAAUGAGUAAAGAAGCACCGGCUAACUACGUG
rnacentral:rRNA from 1 species